CGAGUUCAAUUCUAUUUCCUUGCAAAUUGUCAAUUUUUCCUAUUUUUACUCCCACUACUUUUAUGCCACCCAACCUAGUAAACCCUAGCAUUUAUACCAUUUUUUAAUUGAUUUUUCAUCUUUUUCCUAUGUCCAUCCACUACUCUUGCCGCUCCUCCCAUCUUCCUACUCCUUCUCUCAAAAAUUUUCUUCGUUUCUCUAGUAUUUCACCUUAGUUGUGUUGCCCCUUUGUUAAAGUCUUUACUAUUGUUUUUCAGUCACCUUUCUGGUUGUUUAAACCUUUUAAAAAAACCCAACUUUUUCCCUUAAACUCACCUUUAAGCCACCCUUAUUAGCCUCCCUUUGCUAUUC
rnacentral:lncRNA from 1 species